UACGUAGGGUGCAAGCGUUAAUCGGAAUUACUGGGCGUAAAGCGUGCGCAGGCGGCUUUGCAAGACAGAUGUGAAAUCCCCGGGCUUAACCUGGGAACUGCAUUUGUGACUGCAUGGCUGGAGUGCGGCAGAGGGGAUGGAAUUCCGGCGUGUAGCAGUGAAAUGCGUAGAGAUGUGGAGGAACACCGAUGGCGAAGGCAGCCCCCUGGGCUGAGAUUGACGCUCAGGCACGAAAGCGUGGGGAGCAAACAGG
rnacentral:rRNA from 1 species